UCGACGGAGAUCGAAGAUCUAAUGAUUUGUUCAAAAGAUCUCUAUCAUCAAAGGGCAUUAAUGAAGCCCCAUUGGACACUUGCCACCAAUCUCCAUUCAAAAAGGAUAAUUCUUGUUUUAUGCUAUAGAUUCCGUUAUCAUCAGGUUUCAUUUCAGAAGCAGAAGCUAAAACAAAAGCACAUUCUUUCUUGACCUCAUCAGUUCUUUCAUAUUUGUAAGUCAUAGAAGUUCUAGUCCUAGGUCCUAACUCUCCAUCUA
rnacentral:lncRNA from 1 species